rnacentral:rRNA from 1 species
UACGUAGGGUGCGAGCGUUGUCCGGAAUUAUUGGGCGUAAAGGGCUCGUAGGCGGUUUGUCGCGUCGGGAGUGAAAACCUUGGGCUUAACUCAGGGCUUGCUUUCGAUACGGGCAGACUAGAGGUAUGCAGGGGAGAACGGAAUUCCUGGUGUAGCGGUGAAAUGCGCAGAUAUCAGGAGGAACACCGGUGGCGAAGGCGACAUCCUGGACCGGUAUUGACGCUGAGGCGCGAAAGCCAGGGGAGCAAACGGG